GACAGAGGGUGCAAACGUUGUUCGGAAUUACUGGGCGUAAAGCGCGUGUAGGCGGCAGUGUAAGUCGGAUGUGAAAGCCCACGGCUCAACCGUGGAAGUGCACCCGAAACUACACAGCUAGAGUAUCGGAGAGGAAGGUGGAAUGCUUGGUGUAGAGGUGAAAUUCGUAGAUAUCAAGCGGAACACCGGUGGCGAAGGCGGCCUUCUGGACGAUUACUGACGCUGAGACGCGAAAGCGUGGGGAGCAAACAGG
rnacentral:rRNA from 1 species